AUGCCCCACCGCGAAACCAAUGAUAGUUCCAUCCAACACGGCUCCCCCUCCUCCUCCGACGGCAUCAUCAAGAUCCCUGUUACCAUGCAUGAUCCGGAUUUCAACGACAUUGACACAAAUAUGAGCAUUUCGUGUGACCACGACCAACCGUGGAGAGGUGUGUUGCAUUUGAAGGGAUUCACGACGGGAGAUUUUUUUUUCUUGGCUAGGAAGGAAGGAAGAAAUUGUGGAGUAGUUCGGUGGAUUGAUUUAGAGUGGCUAGACUCAAUGGAGAAGGCAUUGCCCCAGUUAUGGGAUAUAUAUGAGGAGAGCAAGAGAGAUGGGACCAAGGACAAUCUGGAGAGUUCAUUUCUGGUUCACUCUCUGACCUAA
rnacentral:rRNA from 1 species